GUGCCAGCAGCCGCGGUAAUACGGAAGGUCCGGGCGUUAUCCGGAUUUAUUGGGUUUAAAGGGAGCGCAGGCUGAUGAUUAAGCGUGACGUGAAAUGUAGCCGCUCAACGGCUGAACUGCGUCGCGAACUGGUUAUCUUGAGUGAGUUCGAUGUUGGCGGAAUUCGUGGUGUAGCGGUGAAAUGCUUAGAUAUCACGAAGAACUCCGAUUGCGAAGGCAGCCAACAAGGCCUUUACUGACGCUAAAGCUCGAAGGUGCGGGUAUCGAACAGGAUUAGAUACCCUGGUAGUCCGCACGGUAAACGAUGGAUGCCCGCUGUUUGCGAUAUACUGUGAGCGGCCAAGAGAAAUCGUUAAGCAUCCCACCUGGGGAGUACGCCGGCAACGGUGAAACUCAAAGGAAUUGACGGGGGCCCGCACAAGCGGAGGAACAUGUGGUUUAAUUCGAUGAUACGCGAGGAACCUUACCCGGGCUUGAACUGCCAGUGAACGAUACAGAGAUGUUGAGGCCCUUCGGGGCACUGGUGGAGGUGCCGCAUGGUUGUCGUCAGCUCGUGCCGUGAGGUGUCGGCUUAAGUGCCAUAACGAGCGCAACCCUUUUCAUUAGUUGCCAUCAGGUAAAGCUGGGCACUCUGGUGAUACUGCCACCGUAAGGUGUGAGGAAGGUGGGGAUGACGUCAAAUCAGCACGGCCCUUACGUCCGGGGCUACACACGUGUUACAAUGGGUGGUACAGAGAGUCGGAUCAACGUAAGUUGGUUCUAAUCCUAAAAGCCAUCCUCAGUUCGGAUUGGGUCUGCAACCCGACCCCAUGAAGCUGGAUUCGCUAGUAAUCGCGCAUCAGCCAUGGCGCGGUGAAUACGUUCCCGGGCCUUGUACACACCGCCCGU
rnacentral:rRNA from 1 species